GUUAGGAUCAGGGUCUGGGUUAGGUUCAGGUUUAGGGUCUGGGUUAGGGUCAAGGUCUGGGUUAGAAUUGGGGUUAGGUUCAGGGUUAGAUUCAGGGUUAGGGUCUGGGUUAGGAUCAGGGUUAGGGUCUGGGUUAGGGUCUGGGUUAGGAUCAGGGUCUGGGUUAGGGACAGGGUCUGGGUUAGGAUCAGGGUUGGGGUAUGGGUUAGGUUCAGGGUUAGGGUCUGGGUUAGGAUCAGGGUCUGGGUCAGGAUCAGGGUCUGGGUUAGGAUCAGGGUCUGCGUUAGGAUCAGGUUCUGGGUUAUGAUCAGGGUCUGGUUUAGGUCAGGGUCUGGGUCUGGGUUAGGAUCAGGGUCUGGUUUAGGACAGGGUCUGGGUUAGGAUCAGGGUCUGGGUUAGGAUCAGGGUCUGGGUUAGGAUCAGGGUCUGGGUUAGGAUCAGGGCCUGAAGGGCUCAGACGUCUGUGAAUCAGCAGCAGUCAGUGGGAUGAGUGGAGAGACAGCACAAUGAGAGAGUGAGGGACUGACGAGGGAUGGGGAAAAAUACAGUGUACAUUUUCACACCUCUGUGGGAGGAGCCUGACCUUGGGUUAGUACACUGGCCAAUCACACACACACACAAACACAGCCGCUCGGUAGUGGAACUUCUGUCACAGAACACCAGGGUUGUAAACACUGUGGAAACUAAGU
ensembl:lncRNA